rnacentral:rRNA from 1 species
UACGUAGGGUGCAAGCGUUAAUCGGAAUUACUGGGCGUAAAGCGUGCGCAGGCGGUUCUAUAAGUCAGAUGUGAAAUCCCCGGGCUCAACCUGGGAACUGCAUUUGUGACUGUAGAGCUGGAGUACGGCAGAGGGGGAUGGAAUUCCGCGUGUAGCAGUGAAAUGCGUAGAUAUGCGGAGGAACACCGAUGGCGAAGGCAAUCCCCUGGGCCUGUACUGACGCUCAUGCACGAAAGCGUGGGGAGCAAACAGG